rnacentral:rRNA from 1 species
AGAGUUUGAUCCUGGCUCAGGAUGAACGCUGGCGGCGUGCCUAACACAUGCAAGUCGAACGGAUUUAUAACGAAACCUAGUGAAUUAUAAGUUAGUGGCGGACGGGUGAGUAACGCGUGGAAAACCUGCCGUAUACUGGGGGAUAACACUUAGAAAUAGGUGCUAAUACCGCAUAAGCGCACAGCUUCGCAUGAAGCAGUGUGAAAAACUCCGGUGGUAUACGAUGGUUCCGCGUCUGAUUAGCUAGUUGGUGAGGUAAAAGCCCACCAAGGCAACGAUCAGUAGCCGGCCUGAGAGGGUGAACGGCCACAUUGGGACUGAGACACGGCCCAGACUCCUACGGGAGGCAGCAGUGGGGGAUAUUGCACAAUGGGGGAAACCCUGAUGCAGCGACGCCGCGUGAGUGAAGAAGUAUUUCGGUACGUAAAGCUCUAUCAGCAGGGAAGAAAAUGACGGUACCUGACUAAGAAGCCCCGGCUAACUACGUG